rnacentral:rRNA from 1 species
AUUGAACGCUGGCGGCAUGCCUUACACAUGCAAGUCGAACGGUAACAGGUCUUCGGAUGCUGACGAGUGGCGAACGGGUGAGUAAUACAUCGGAACGUGUCUAGUAGUGGGGGAUAACUACUCGAAAGAGUGGCCAAUACCGCAUGAGAUCUACGGAUGAAAGCAGGGGAUCGCAAGACCUUGUGCUACUCGAGCGGCCGAUGGCAGAUUAGGUAGUUGGUGGGAUAAAAGCUUACCAAGCCGACGAUCUGUAGCUGGUCUGAGAGGACGAUCAGCCACACUGGGACUGAGACACGGCCCAGACUCCUACGGGAGGCAGCAGUGGGGAAUUUUGGACAAUGGGCGAAAGCCUGAUCCAGCAAUGCCGCGUGCAGGAUGAAGGCCUUCGGGUUGUAAACUGCUUUUGUACGGAACGAAAAGCCCCGGGUUAAUACCCUGGGGUCAUGACGGUACCGUAAGAAUAAGCACCGGCUAACUACGUGCCAGCCGCCGCAGUAA